rnacentral:rRNA from 1 species
UACGAAGGGGGCUAGCGUUGUUCGGAAUUACUGGGCGUAAAGCGCACGUAGGCGGCGAUUCAAGUCAGAGGUGAAAGCCCGGGGCUCAACUCCGGAACUGCCUUUGAAACUAGAUUGCUAGAAUCUUGGAGAGGCGAGUGGAAUUCCGAGUGUAGAGGUGAAAUUCGUAGAUAUUCGGAAGAACACCAGUGGCGAAGGCGACUCGCUGGACAAGUAUUGACGCUGAGGUGCGAAAGCGUGGGGAGCAAACAGG